rnacentral:rRNA from 1 species
GAUGAACGCUGGCGGCGUGCCUAAUACAUGCAAGUCGAGCGAACGGACGAUAAGUUUGUUUCUUUGUUGUUUGGGGCGGACGGGUGAGUAACAUGUGGAUAAUCUACUUAUCAGUCUGGGAUAAUUUCGGGAAACCGGAGCUAAUCCCGGAUGAUAUUUUGCACCGUAUGGUUCAAAAGUGAAAGACGGUUUUGCUGUAUUUUAUAGAUGGAUACGAGCUGUAUUAGCUAGUUGGUAAGUUCACGGCUUACCAAGGCAACGAUGCCUGAUCGACGUGAGAGGGUGAUCGGCCACACUGGAACUUAGACACGGUCCAGACUCCUACGAGAGGCAGCAGUAGGGAAUCUGCCGCAAUAGGCGAAAGCCUGACGGAGCAACCCCACGUGAGUGAUAAAGAUCUUCCGAUCGUAAAACUCUGUUAUUAGUGAAAAACAUAUGUGUAAGUAACUGUGCACAUCGUGACGGUACCUAAUCAAAAAGCCACGGCUAACUACGUG